GAGAGAGACAUGCGCGCAUAUCAAUAAGCGGAGGAAAAGAAACUAACAAGGAUUCCCCUAGUAACGGCGAGUGAAGCGGGGAAGAGCUCAAAUUUGAAAUCUUAAGGGUUUCCCUUUACGAAUUGUAGUUUAAAGAAGUGUUUUCUGUUGAGGUUUUGGUAAAAGUUCUUUGGAAUAGGACAUCAUAGAGGGUGAGAAUCCCGUAUUUGACCUUUACUUUCAUCUUUGUGAUACACUUUCAAAGAGUCGGAUUGUUUGGGAAUGCAGUCCAAAAUGGGUGGUAAAUUUCAUCUAAAGCUAAAUAUUGGCGAGAGACCGAUAGCGAACAAGUACCGUGAGGGAAAGAUGAAAAGAACUUUGAAAAGAGAGUUAAACAGUACGUGAAAUUGUCAAAAGGGAAGCGUUUGACACCAGUGUUGUUUUUCUGAAAAUCAAUUAAAGAACUGUUUAUGCUAAGUUGUUUAGACUUUAUCAGCUAACUGUUUAGUUUUGAGCUUUUCUUUAAUGCACUUUUCAGUUAACAAGUCAACAUCAAUUUCUUUUGCUGUAAAAAAGCUUGAGGAAGGUGGCUUGAGAUUCGUCUUAAGUGUUUAUAGCCUCUCGCCUAUGCAGUCGGAGAGAUUGAGGUCUGCAGCGUAGAUCCUUCGGGGCUAAAUGCAUUUGUGCUAAGUUAUAGCAUUUUAUAGACAACUUGUUGACUAUGAUUUGUCUUGUAGCUUACUCGCUUAUGUUAUUUUACCUACGCUUAGGAUGUUGACGCAUGAGAUAUACGC
rnacentral:rRNA from 1 species